UUUAUGUUUAUACUUUAAUAUUUAAUCUUUUUUUUAAAUCAACAUGUGUAAUACACGGGUCUCACACCUAACAAAGACCUAGUAAAUAUUAAUAAAUGGUAAUAUAGUCAUUUAAGUAGGAACGAAUGGACAAUUAGAUAAAGGCCAACUUGGUCAUUUUUGUUUGAACAAUGAUCAAAAUAGUCACACUAAUUUGAAAUAUAACAAACAAAAACUUCCAAAAAUUGCAAAAACCACUUAAACACACAUAUACCUAUAUAACAAUCGUUGUAAUCUUUUUUGCAUCUACUUAAAAGAAAGUCUCAUGAUUUGUAUUUCCCAUAAAUCUUGUUUUUUUCACAAGAUGUCAUUCCGAUAUAAGUGCCGCCAAACGUUUGACUUUUGAAUAUACCAAAUCGACAUUACUAAAAGCUUCAUUUUGCUAGAUAGGUAAUACGUUUUAUAUAUUUUUCAUUUUUUUUUUUUUGUGCAUUUUAGGUUCAACUGUUUGUUAAAGGAAAAACAAGUACAUGUUAUUUUCCAUGAGAAUUUAAAGAUAGAAGGAUGUUGAAAAACCACUUACAAAAAAAAAAAAAAAAAAAAAAAACUAAACCAAACUACUCAUCAAAUUAUUUGAGAUUUUUGAUUUUUGCGCAACUGGAUUGCUUAAUCGGGUAACUUCUAUUCAACUUCUGAGUUUACAGCAUCGAAUAAGCUAUUUUCUGUCUUUCACAGCCAGAAGGUCAAACUGUCGGCUAUUAUGUGAUACAUACUGUUGUUUGGUUGAAGCUUUAGGCUCUUCACUUACGGAAUAUUUACUUUGACGAUACCACAUGAUAAAAGAAGAAUCGGUUACAAGACCUUUUGAUUUGGUUGCAAUAAGGUAUUAGGGAAUAACUUUCGUAAAUUUCCAGGUAGUAAAUAUUGUUGUAUAUUGAGUUUAUUUGUUAUAUUUUUUUUCACAAACAAAAUUUGAUAUAUAUUAUAAUGUUAAAAAGUCAAACAUUUGCUUAAACCUUUUUUCCU